rnacentral:rRNA from 1 species
UACGGAGGAUGCGAGCGUUAUCCGGAUUUAUUGGGUUUAAAGGGUGCGCAGGCGGAUUUUUAAGUCAGCGGUCAAAUCGUGGGGCUCAACCCCAUCCAGCCGUUGAAACUGGGGAUCUAGAGUGUGCGAGAGGUAUGCGGAAUGCGUGGUGUAGCGGUGAAAUGCAUAGAUAUCACGCAGAACCCCGAUUGCGAAGGCAACAUACCGGUGCACAACUGACGCUCAGGCACGAAAGCGUGGGUAUCGAACAGG